AACGAACGCUGGCGGCAUGCCUAACACAUGCAAGUCGAACGAGAUCUUCGGGUCUAGUGGCGCACGGGUGCGUAACGCGUGGGAAUCUGCCCUUUGGCUCGGAAUAACAGUUGGAAACGACUACUAAUACCGGAUGAUGACGAAAGUCCAAAGAUUUAUCGCCAGAGGAUGAGCCCGCGUAGGAUUAGCUAGUUGGUGUGGUAAAGGCGCACCAAGGCGACGAUCCUUAGCUGGUCUGAGAGGAUGAUCAGCCACACUGGGACUGAGACACGGCCCAGACUCCUACGGGAGGCAGCAGUGGGGAAUAUUGGAAAAUGGGCGAAAGCCUGAUCCAGCAAUGCCGCGUGAGUGAUGAAGGCCUUAGGGUUGUAAAGCUCUUUUACCCGGGAUGAUAAUGACAGCACCGGGAGAAUAAGCUCCGGCUAACUCCGUGCCAGCCGCCGCCGUAA
rnacentral:rRNA from 1 species